UACGUAGGGUGCGAGCGUUGUCCGGAAUUAUUGGGCGUAAAGAGCUCGUAGGCGGCUUGUCGCGUCGGAUGUGAAAGCCCGGGGCUUAACUCCGGGUCUGCAUUCGAUACGGGCAGGCUAGAGUUCGGUAGGGGAGAUCGGAAUUCCUGGUGUAGCGGUGAAAUGCGCAGAUAUCAGGAGGAACACCGGUGGCGAAGGCGGAUCUCUGGGCCGAUACUGACGCUGAGGCGCGAAAGCGUGGGGAGCGAACAGG
rnacentral:rRNA from 1 species